rnacentral:rRNA from 1 species
GACGAACGCUGGCGGCGUGCUUAACACAUGCAAGUCGAACGGUAAGGCCCUUCGGGGUACACGAGUGGCGAACGGGUGAGUAACACGUGGGUGACCUGCCCUGCACUUCGGGAUAAGCCUGGGACACUGGGUCUAAUACCGGAUACGACCCUGGGAUGCAUGUCCUGGGGUGGAAAACUUUUGCGGUGUGGGAUGGGCCCGCGGCCUAUCAGCGUGUUGGUGGGGUGAUGGCCUACCAAGGCGACGACGGGUAGCCGGCCUGAGAGGGUGACCGGCCACACUGGGACUGAGAUACGGCCCAGACUCCUACGGGAGGCAGCAGUGGGGAAUAUUGCACAAUGGGCGCAAGCCUGAUGCAGCGACGCCGCGUGAGGGAUGACGGCCUUCGGGUUGUAAACCUCUUUCAGCACCGACGAAGCGCAAGUGACGGUAGGUGCAGCAGAAGGACCGGCUAACUACGUGCCAGCAGCCGCAGUAA